GAUGAACGCUGGCGGCGUGCCUAAUACAUGCAAGUCGAGCGAACGGACGAGAAGCUUGCUUCUCUGAUGUUAGCGGCGGACGGGUGAGUAACACGUGGAUAACCUACCUAUAAGACUGGGAUAACUUCGGGAAACCGUAGCUAAUACCGGAUAAUAUUUUGAACCGCAUGGUUCAAAAGUGAAAGACGGUCUUGCUGUCACUUAUAGAUGGAUCCGCGCUGCAUUAGCUAGUUGGUAAGGUAACGGCUUACCAAGGCAACGAUGCAUAGCCGACCUGAGAGGGUGAUCGGCAACACUGGAACUGAGACACGGUCCAGACUCCUACGGGAGGCAGCAGUAGGGAAUCUUCCGCAAUGGGCGAAAGCCUGACGGAGCAACGCCGCGUGAGUGAUGAAGGUCUUCGGAUCGUAAAACUCUGUUAUUAGGGAAGAACAUAUGUGUAAGUAACUGUGCACAUCUUGACGGUACCUAAUCAGAAAGCCACGGCUAACUACGU
rnacentral:rRNA from 1 species